AUUGUAUUAUUAUGGAUGAAAUUGGUUUAGAACAUAAAAACAGAAUUGAUAUUUCACCCUUGAAUAAGGCAGAAGAUAAUAUAUGCAGGAAAGUUUUUCCAAAGCAUGUCUGAGUAUAUACCUUUGAAUUAUACUGGAAAACAUGUCAUUCCAUUCAGAACUCCAAAUUAAGAUGCACUAUUUUUUGCUGAAGGCUAUUUUAAAUUAGGCUAAUAAAUUGCUACUCUCUGCCUUGCGUGAUAAUGCAUUACAUUAUCUACUGAUGUACAUGUAUUGUUUGACUCUAAUGGUGUGGAAAUUAAAUGUUAGACAUGGGCCAGAUGUUCCUAUAGAUGAAUAUGAAGUAUGACUCGGGCAUAACUAUGUCUCAUCGGGACAGAGAGCAAGAAUGCAACAACCAACAACAGUAAUAACCACUCAUAAUUGUUCUCUGCCUCUAGUUUCUAGCAAGAACCAACAUUGGGCAAACCUAGAGUCCCUUGGAUUCCCUGUCUUUGAAGAAUGUUUGCACCUGUUCAUGAGGAAAGAAAUUUUAUUCCCCAAAGUACAGAAUAAAAUAAAAUUCUGAGUAUAGAACUACCUGGAGGGGUACCCAGACAUGGUCUGUGCUGAAGGAUGUAGGAUGUGGACUUCCAGAGGCUUUGAGGUGCUUGAUUAAAAAGGUGGAGAAGCAAAUCUAUGGAUGUGUUCAAUACUAUCUGAGAACUCUGGAGAGAGACAAAUGUGACUCAGUGAAACCAUAGGUCACAGCAAGGAGACAAUCAGACAUCUGCAAACUAUAAAGAGGGCCUUCACCAAGAACUGAAGCCACUGCCAUCGAGUGAAAGAAAGAACUAUCUCGGCCAGCGCCAUGGCUCACUAGGUUGAUCCUCUGCCUGCGGCGCCGGCACUCCGGGUUCUAGUCCCAAUCAGGGCGUCGGUUCUGUCCUGGUUGCUCCUCUUCCAGUCCAGUUCUCUGCUGUGGCCAGGGAAGGCAGUGGAGGAUGGCCUAGGUGCUUGGGCCCUGCACCCGAAUGGGAGACCAGGAGGAAGCAUCUGGAUCCUGGCUUCAGAUCGGCGCAGCGCGCCGGCCGCAACGCGCCAGCCAUAGCGGCCACUUGGGGGGAACCAAUGGAAAAAGGAAGACCUUUCUCUCUGUCUCUCUUUCUCACUGUCUAACUCUCCCUGGGGGGGGGGGGGACUAUCUCUUGGCAAAGCUACCCAAGUGUAUGGUAUUUUGUUAUAACAGCCUCAGCUAAGACAAAGUGGAAUGCUAUUUGAGAAAUGGUGAUAGGUAGAUAGGGAGGGAAGCAGGAGGGAGAGAAAGAGAGAGACAGAGAAGGAAAGUGGGAAGGGAAGGGGAGAAAAGAGAAGAUGCCUCAUAAAGUCACUUAAAGGAGUGCUCAGUAAUAGUUAAGAUGAGCUAGAAAAAGUGUAAGUGGUAGAGAUGAAGAUGAUAAUGAUAACAACUUGUCUGUUCUUUCAACCGAUCCCUGCAAAGAACUUACUGAAGGACACUACACUAGUUCUUUAGGAAGCAAACUUAAGUACCACCCUUAUCUGAUAAAGAUAUGUUAUGUGUUGUAUUUUUUUUUUUUGGUGAAUUAUGUAUAUCUAUUAAAAGAGUUGUAGUAGAUGCCUUGGGAAUUCUGAAGGGAGAUAUUACUUCCAACUGGGAGAUAUCAGAUGUAUUAAUUUAUAUAGUAGGUAACAUUUUGUCUGGGGCUUGAAAACAGACAGAAUUUUCUUAGGGAAAGACUGCUGUGGGGGCAAUUCCCCAUGAGAUGAGUCACAUCCCUAGAGCAGUGGGUCCCUUGUAGGAACCUAAGGCACCAUCUGGCGGAGCUGUGGAGAUUUCAGUGAAGGCCCUAUUUGUGGAGGUCAUGCACAAGGGACCGUGAGAAGUCACACCCAGGAAGGAGCAUGCUCGGAGCUGGUGAAGACUGGAGCCAUGGAGAAAGAGCUGCCUGAUGGAGUUGUAAUCCAGGAGUGAUGCAGCCACUUCAAGAGCCAUGAUGCUGACACAGUCGGGGACAGCAGGAAAAAUGCAGGCCUCCUUAUGCCCAUGCUCCAACCUCCAACUUAGCCUUUCGUCAGCUGAUUCCAACCAGAAACAAGGGUGGCAGGGAGUCCAUAGACGCAAUCACUAUGGACAGCCUCUGCAAGUAGAAAAUGGACUAGGGUAGACACCCAAUGGAGACUAAACACUGUAGCUACUGUGAUGGAGGGGAAUAAAAUGCAUUUGAUAAAAAAUUCAUUUUGGCUAGAAUAAGUGAUACGUGAGGAUGAGAAGUCAUAAAUGCACUUAUACAAGUAGCCAUUGAAAAUGCUUGGGAAGAAUGACAAGGGAAAGGGGAGAGAAAACCACUUGUAAACCGAGUACUUAACUCAUUAGGGAAUUCCGGUGCCUUUCUAGGAAAAAAUUACAGAUAAAACCAACAAGGAUGCAGAUAAAUGAUGUCACAAUAUAAGAGAUCUUACAAGAGACAAGCUAGUUUUUAGAAAUGUUAAUGUAACAGAGGCCAAGAAGAGGCAUUAGGGAGAAAGAAGUGCAAUAGUCCCUCUGUACCUUAAGGGGACUAGUUGCAGGAACCUUCCUCUUCCAGCCUCAAAUAUCAAAAUCUGCAUUCUCAAGGCCCUACUAUAAAAUGGUAUAAUAUUUGAUUAUAACAUAUCCUCAUCCUCCAUAUAAUUUAAAUCAUCUGCAGACUAUUUAUAAUGGCUGUUACAAUGUAAAUGCUAUGUAUGUAAUUGUGAUACUGUAUUGUUUUAGGAAUAAUAGCAAGGAAAAAAGUCUGCACAUGUUUGGUACAGGUACAAUUUUUUUUCUGAAUAUUUUUCAAUUUGAGAGGCAGAAAAAGACAGACACAGAGAGACAGAAAUAAAAUGUCCCAUCCACUGGUUCACUCCCCAAAUGCCUACAACAGCUGAGGCUGAGCCCAGACGAGUCAGGAGUCAGGUCUCCCACAUGGGCGGAAGUGCCUUUAUAUAUUAAUCGCUGUGAGAAUUCUGUACACAGGAAAACCAGACACAAGACUUUACUAAGUUUACAGUCUUAAAGAGAAACUUUGACAUUUGGUUUUAGAAGACUAGGAAGAAUGGCUUUCAGGAGGGACAUGAGAAGUUGUUAAUUGCACCCACUGAAGUGUGUUGUAGCUAUCUUACCCAGUCUCUCAGCCUCAUGGCCUAGUAAGUAAGUUUCUUGAAUCCCACAUUGGAAUAUAUUCAUUCCAUUCCUAGCUCUGGCUCCUAACUCCAGCUUCCCACUGAUGCAGACACUGCAAGAGAGCAGUGCUGGCUUAAGGAAUUCACAUAUGUGGGAGAUCUGGAUUCAGUUCUCAGCCCCUGACUUCAGCCAUGGCCCAGCCCUAGAGAUUGCAAGCGUUGGUGAGUGAACUAGUACAGGGGAGUUCAGGCUCUUUGUCUCUCUGAUUCUUAAAUACAUAUUUUCAAGUUAAAAUGUGGGGCAUGCGUUGUGGCAUAGUGGAUCAAUCUACCACCAGUGAUGCCAGCAUCUCAUAUGGGUGUUGGUUCAUGUCCCAGCUGCUCCACUUCUCUGUCCAGCUCCCUGCUAAUUGCCUAGGAAAAGCAGUGGAAGAUGGCUCAAGUGUUUAGGCCCCUGCAGUCACAUGGGAGACCUAAAUGAAGCUCCUGGAUCUUGGCUUCAGUCUGGCCAAGGGAUGGUCAUUGCAGCCAUCUGGGGAAUAAACCAGUGUAUGAAAGAUCUAUUCUCUCUCUCUCUCUCUCUCUCUCCCUAUCUCUCUUUUCUCCCUCUUUGCAAUUCUCACUUUCAAAAUAAAUAUUUUUUAAAAAAAGGAAUGCCAUAAUGGCUCUGUGUAUAACACAGAAAUCAACAAAUGCUACAAAUCAGGGUUCCCUGUCCUCAAAGCCAGCUGUUAAACAACUCAGAGCCAGUUGUUAAGCAUUUAGCACUACACAACUGAUCUGCUGCACACUCAGUUUAAAAACAGGUUAUUCAUUUAGCAAUGAGCAUGGCACUGUGUGAGAUCAUUAUGAUGACCUUCACCCUCUUUUCCAGUGAUCAGGGGUGAAUGUGAAUUAAAUAGGUACAGGCUUGCUCCUAUUGAAAAGUCCAGAAUGAAUGGCUGUUCAUUAUACUAACUAUAUAAGGGUACUUCAAAAAGUUUAGAAAAUUGGAAUUAAAAGAUAUAUAUAAAAUCCAUAAGUAUUAAAAUCCAUGCUCAACUUUUUCAUACAUUUUCAUGAACUUUGUAUAGAAUCCUCAUGCACAUGAAUUUCAUUUUUUUACACCAAAUAAGCUUACUUUUAAAUUUCAUUUUCCACAAACAUUUCGAAGAACCCUCAUUUUAUGUUAAUCAAUUAGAGGGUAUUCUGAAUGAUGCAAUCUGGAAGAAGCUGAGGAACUGAAAAUAAAUAGCAAUGUUUCAGAAAAAUUCAGUGAGAAGAAAAUGAAUCCAUUCCUUUGAACCGUAGCAAUUCUUGAUUUAGGUUCAAUAAGUCUUACAAGUUGAAGCCGGUGCUCUCCUCCUGUUUGCACUCACUGCAAGGAAUGAAAAUAUACACCACCCACCUGAAACCUGUCAUGCUCACCUGUGCUGCUUCAGAAACCCUUUCUAUUGCAUCUGAAGUGGCUGCUAAAAAUUGCCAGAACUUGUGUGUCUUUUCAUUUUUGGAGAAAAGAAAUAUUCUCAAUGCCUAAUUGCCACUCUUCUCACCUUCAACAGGGGUCAAAUUAAUUCUAUUGCUGAAUAAAGAAAAUUUUAUUCAAAGAAUACAAAAUGAGAGCAAUCAGUUCUGUCUUUCUCUUCAUUUUCUCCUUCCAAUCUUUUCUGCUUAACUGCUUUAAUUUUUUUUUCCUAGCUGAAGUAUUUUCAGUCAUAUGUGCAUCAUUUUGUAGGGACUAUAAGGCAUAAGUAGUUUAAUAAGUGGGGAUUUACCUAUUUAAUCAUAUUGCUCACAUAAUAGAGUCAUUCAGCACUCAUUCAAUGACAUUAAACACUUGUGAUAUGUUAGACACUGUUCUAGUUAUCUUUUAAAAAAAUAUUUAUUUGAGAGGCAGAGCGAGAACAAGAGUGGGGAGGGUGGGCAUAGGGAGACAGGGAGAGAGACAGAGAUCUUCCGUCAGCUGGUUCACUCCCCAGCUGGCCUCAAUGGCUGGACCUGGGCCUAUCUGAAGCCAGGAGCCAGGAGCUUCUUCCAGGGCUCCCACAUGAGUGCAGGGGUCCAAGCUCUUGGGGAAUCCUCUGCCACACUCUCAGGCACAUUAGCAGAGAGUUGGAAUGGAAGUAGAGCAGCCAGGACAUAAAUCAGUACCCAUAUCGGGUAUUGGAGAUGCAGGCAGCAGCUUCACCCACUAUGCCACAGUGCUGACCCCUGUUCUGGUCUCUUAUAUGACACACAAUAAUGGCUCAUAUGGUGCAUUCUGAAACAGAGCAGGUACAACCAUCAGACAUCUAAGUCCCAUCUGAUUUAGUCCUGGUCCAGCUCUGGCUAUUGCAGGCAUCUGGGGAGUGAAACAGGGAAUGGAUGAUUUUUGUCUAUCUCUUUGUCUACCUCUCUUUCUGCCUUUCAGACCAUAAAUAAAUAAAUGAAUGAAUAAAUAAAUAAAUUUUACACUAGCUUAAAAACAUUUUGAAAAAGAAAGUGUCAAUUUUUACUGCUUAUAAUAUUUCAAUUUCUUGAGGAAAGUCCUAGGCAGAGGCUCAGUGAAGUUAUCAGGACUCAUAUGUGCCUUCACAGAAAAUGAUGAGGGGGAGGUGGUUUUAGGAUAAAAAAAAAUAAAAAAUAAACCUGAAAUAUAGUCUUUGCAGAAGAUCCGCGGGGGAGUCGAGGGUAACACAGGAGUGGUGUGGGGAUGGCUUACAGAGGGAGAGGCUUAUAUUCUCAUCAGACACAACCUGCUUCACUUAGCAGACAUUCAGAAUCACAUGAGCCAGAGAGAACUUUCUUUCUUUCUUGUUGAAUGACCUAGAGGGAGAUGGCCAGGGCCAGCUUCAUGAGUCCAUCCAAAAACUCAGCUCAUCCAUCCAUAGUCCUGGAGAGGUGCCAGGAAUGUCAUCAUUACUAGUGAUGGAGAAUUUCCAAACAUUGCUGCACAUGUGGUUUUGGUCAAGUCGGCUCUGCAGAGACCCACUGCCUCUCUACCAGGUAACAUCUUGGUAUACGCUUCAGGUUCCUACUUCACAUCCAAUAGGCAGUAACACGGAUACCAUGCAUCCCACAAAGCUCUGACAGGCUCUACUAUACACCUGUAAUUUGUUUUGCGAAAUCAGUGGGGUUCUCUGUGGAUAGGUUGGUCUUUCUCUUUUAGUUACACUAUGGUCUUGAUGUCCUGAAAUAAAGUUGUUCAUCCUACAAUUAUCUAUAAAUUGUUAGAAAAAAAUAAAAUAAACUAAGGUCAGCUUUAGUGUAAAAUCCCUGCUCUCCAUUGCCUGACUGUCUAUUGCCAUAGAUAUGCAGGUUCCAAGAUAAAUCUGAGCGAGAGGACUCAUGCUUUAGGAAGAAUCUCUUCUCCACCCAUACAACUCUGCAUUAAGGUAAGCUCAUUAACUUACGUUCAUUGUGCCCACAAGCAAGCAAGAUCUCAUAUCCUCACUACUUCCCUUUCCCUGAAUAACAUUGUUAGACUAGCCUUUCCCGUUCAGUGAUAAGAUCUCAUCACUUCCAUUUAAACUGAGAUUCAGGUAGACAUAGCACUGGUACAAGGAUGCAGUUUGAGUUAUCACAUUGGAAAUCAUGAUACAUGAAGAACAGAAUAAUAAAUGUGUUCAUUGGAAACCCUCCAUAGCAUGAGGUACACUAUUUAAUAUGCUAAAAUGCCUGGAAUUGUGACAUUUAUAUCAUUUAUAAUAGCCAAUUAUUGCAUACGACAUCCCACUUAAGUGUCAGGUCUGUUGAUUGAAAGUUAUAUUAUGAAUCUAAAGUGGAUUUAAUCUCCUAUGUUGUAAAUGUCAGUGGCAAUGAAUUUUGAAACAAGAAAAAAAUGGAACUUUCAUGAUCUAGUGAUAGUACUCCUUAGUCUCCACUCAAAUGAUUUAAAAACUUAUGUUCAAACAGAAACUUGUACAUGGAUCUUUAAGGAAGCUUUAUUCAUAAUCAUCCCAACUUGAAAGUGAAGAGGAUGUCCUUUAUAGCUUAAUGGAUGAACUGGGGCACAUUUAGACAAUAUGAAAGACAUGGAGGAAAUUUAAGUGCAUAUCAUGAGGUGAGAGGAACCAAUCUAAUAAGGCUACAGAUUGCAUGGUUCCAACUGUGUGAUACUCUGGAAAAGGCAAAACCAUGGAGACAAUCAAAAGAUGACAACUUGUCAGGGUUAUGGGGAGGCAGGGAUGAAUAGGCAGAGCACAAAGGAUUUUUAGGACAAUGGAACUAUUGUGAAGGAUACUACAGUGGUGGAUACCUGUUCUUAAACGUGUGUCCAUACCCAUAGAAACUACAACACCACCAGUGCAUGCUAACAGAAACUAUGGACUUUGGGUGAUAAUGAUGUGUCAGCGUAGGCCAGUUGAUUGUAUAACAAACACUCUAGGAUGUAGGCAAGAGAGAGGCCCAGGAAGAGGGGCAGAGAAUUUGAAAAAGUUCACUGGUUUGAGCUUCUUUUUCAGAGGAUCUUCUGGAAAGCUUAUCUUGCAAUAUUGUACAGCUGCAGCUACAGCACCAGGACAAGGGAAGCUGCAAGAGAUCAAUCAGAAUCAGAUGGAUGAAGACGUAUUUCCGUGAGCAGGAAGGGCUCGCCUGUUCCCCCUUUUCUACAUCUUGCAUGUACAGCACAAGCAGAAAGGACCCCCUCCAUGUAUCCCCCUUUGUGCAUAUUGGGCAAUUCCUUAAGAUUCACUCUAAAUGCCCUGGCAAACUGCUUCUCAGGGAGGCAUCUUCAGGAACUCUUCCUUCCCACUGCCUCCUUUGUCACAGUAAACAAACCUUUUCUUUGAGCCGCUCCAGUUUGAGGCUUAUUAUUCAACAACACCUUAAGCAAACGGAUUUUUUGUGUCCCUGAACAAAGUACCACUCUGGAGGGAAUGUUCUGCAGUGGGGCAGUGGGAAAGGCUGUGACCUUGUGGCGGCAAGAAUAGAUGGAACUCACGGGGCCAGCGCUGUGGCGUGGCAGGUGGAGCUGCUCCCUGCAGCCCUGUGUCCCUUGUGGGUGCAGGUUUGAGUCCCAGCUGCUCUGCUUCCUGUCCAGCUCUCCGCUAUGGCCUGGGAGGGCAAUGGAGGAUGGCCCAAGUCCUUGGGCCCCUGCACUCACAUGGGAGGCCCCAGGUGAAGCUUCUGGCUCCUGGCUUCAGAUCAGCACAGCUCCAGCCGUUUUGGCCAUCUAGGAAGUGAGCCAGCCAAUGGAAGACCUCUCCCCUCUCUCUGCCUCUGCCUCUCUGUGGCUCUGCCUUUCAAAUAAAUAAAAAUCUCUUUUACAAAAUAGAUGGAACUCACUGUAUGUUCCACUCACAUUUGCUGUGAACCUAGAAUUUCUCCAAAAAUAGUCUGUUUAAAAGAGGAAAAGGGUAAAUAGAGCUUUCUUGUAACAAAUGCUAAUAUCUUCAGUGUACUACAGUUUCCAGCAACAUAAAUGCAGCCCUAAAAUCCAUCUGCAAAAAUUUCAAUUUCCAAAUUAAUAUUUGUGUAUGAUACGUGCUAUAGAUGUAGAAUACAGUUUUGUAGAAUGUUCGUGAGUAAUUUUGUGAAGCAAACAAAAGCUUCAGAUCGUCCUUUCUUUGGGAGGAUAGGAAUAUACAUCCCAUUUGUUCCAAAUCUCAGGUAGUAAAUAAUAAUGUCCGUGAGAACAAGGAUGCUUCCAUUAAAGAAGAUGGAAGAGACGACUCUGACAGCAGAGGUAUGCCAAGGUGGGGCAGCUACAUGAGGUUCGUUAUUUCAUUGAAAACUCUAGAACAACAUGGAAUUCAUUACUAUUCAUGAGAAAGAGGUAGGAUUUGAUCUUGCAAACUUGCUUUGUUUUGAAGUCCCUAAUUCUACAGCUACCUAAACUCCCUGGUUGUGGAAAAAAAAUACCAACUCUCUUCAACUUAUUGUUCUGAAUUAUUUAAGAAAAAUGGGCCACUGACCUGAAACAGGGAGAAGUUUAAUCCCCCCACCUCAUAUCCAUGUGUUCCACCUUCACAGAAGUAACCACUUUCAGAAAAUAUCAGGAAAAAGAUUGCAUCUGUACUAAAAAUAUACAGAAUUUUUUUGUCAUUUUUCCUAAACAAUCUAUUUUUAUAAUAACCAUUUACAUCAUAUUUACAUUGUAUAGAUAUUAUACAGAAUCUAGAGGUGUUUUAAAGUAGAUGGGAAGAUCCUAUAGACUACAUGCAAAUAAUGCACCAUUUUAUGUAAGAGAUCUGAGCACUCUCUGAUUUCAUUAUUGACAGAAGUCCUACAACCAAUUGCCCAUAGAUACUGAAAGUCUAGAAGUAGUGUUACAGGAAAAUGGCAGCAGAAAAAUUAUUAUUACCUCGGUUCUUUGCCUCACAUGAAAGAAUUUCCAAGUGGACAAGGCAAAAGCGAUAUUUGAAGGUUUAAAAGCAAGAUUUAUUAGAGUCAAAGACCUUCAGCCAGAGUGGUAUGGAAGGGGGCUCCAAGAGAGGAAAACCCAAAGGACCCCUUGGCAAUGGGGUUUUUAAGUACAAUUUUGAAGGAAAAAGACUUGGCAAUCAGAUUGGCAUUUAGUUACCGGACGGAGACAAAACCCAUCAAAAGUCCUGAUUUACAAUCCUUUAUCUUAUCUGACUUGUUCAUGAUAAAAUAAAAAACCAUACAGAAGAGUGGGAUAGGUAAUUUGUUUUCACAAUAAACUGUGAGUUCAAGUGCAACCUUCACUCCUUUGCUAUUCUCAUGCUAAAUUUGUAGAUAGCAAAGGAAGGAGAAUAUUUUGUUUUUGCUAUAGAUAACCUUUCGGGGAGAAGCAAGAAUUCUAUACCCCAAAUUCCACUGGGACCACUCUGACUGCCUAUUAACCCACCUGACUCCUCACAGUAGGAAGAGACAGUAGAAUAAUCCUCAGGAAAGAGAUGAAUUAAAAAUAAAAAGAGGGGCCGGCAUCGUGGCUCACUAGGUUAAUCCUCCGCCUGCGGUGCAGGUACUCCAGGUUCUAGUCCCAGUUGGGGUGCCGGUUCUGUCCCGGUUGCUCCUCUUCCAGUCCAGCUCUCUGCUGUGGCCCGGGAAGGCAGUGGAGGAUGGCCCAGGUCCUUGGGCCCUGCACCCGCAUGGGAGACCAGGAGGAAUCACCUGGCUCCUGGCUUCGGAUC